rnacentral:rRNA from 1 species
AAGCAUAUCAAUAAGCGGAGGAAAAGAAACUAACAAGGAUUCCCCUAGUAACUGCGAGUGAAGCGGGAAAAGCUCAAAUUUAAAAUCUGUCAGCCUUUGGUUGUCCGAGUUGUAAUCUAGAGAAGUGUUAUCCGCGCUGGACCGUGUACAAGUCUCCUGGAAUGGAGCGUCAUAGAGGGUGAGAAUCCCGUCUUUGACACGGACUGCCAGGGCUUUGUGAUGCGCUCUCAAAGAGUCGAGUUGUUUGGGAAUGCAGCUCAAAAUGGGUGGUAAAUUCCAUCUAAAGCUAAAUAUUGGCGAGAGACCGAUAGCGAACAAGUACCGUGAGGGAAAGAUGAAAAGAACUUUGGAAAGAGAGUUAAACAGUACGUGAAAUUGCUGAAAGGGAAACGCUUGAAGUCAGUCGCGUUGUCCAGGGAUCAACCUUGCUUUUGCUUGGUGUACUUUCUGGUUAACGGGUCAGCAUCAAUUUUGACUGUUGGAAAAAGAUCAGGGGAAUGUGGCAUCUUAGGAUGUGUUAUAGCCCUUGGUUGUAUACAAUGGUUGGGAUUGAGGAACUCAGCACGCCGCAAGGUCGGGUAUUUAUUUAUCACGUACGUGCUUAGGAUGCUGGCAAAAUGGCUUUAAUCGACCCGUCUUGAAACACGGACCAAGGAGUCUAACAUGCCUGCGAGUAUUUGGGUGGAAAACCCGAGCGCGCAAUGAAAGUGAAAGUUGAGAUCCCUGUCGUGGGGAGCAUCGACGCCCGGACCAGACCUUUUGUGACGGUUCCGCGGUAGAGCAUGUAUGUUGGGACCCGAAAGAUGGUGAACUAUGCCUGAAUAGGGUGAAGCCAGAGGAAACUCUGGUGGAGGCUCGUAGCGAUUCUGACGUGCAAAUCGAUCGUCAAAUUUGGGUAUAGGGGCGAAAGACUAAUCGAACC